rnacentral:rRNA from 1 species
UACGUAGGGUGCGAGCGUUGUCCGGAAUUAUUGGGCGUAAAGAGCUUGUAGGCGGUUCGUCGCGUCUGGCGUGAAAGCCCAGGGCUUAACCCUGGGUCUGCGGUGGGUACGGGCAGGCUAGAGUGUGGUAGGGGAGACUGGAAUUCCUGGUGUAGCGGUGAAAUGCGCAGAUAUCAGGAGGAACACCGGUGGCGAAGGCGGGUCUCUGGGCCGAUAUUGACGCUGAGGCGCGAAAGCGUGGGGAGCAAACAGG